rnacentral:rRNA from 1 species
UGACCCGUCUUGAAACACGGACCAAGGAGUCUAGCGUGUGCGCGAGUCAUUGGGAUAUAACUAAACCUAAAGGCGAAAUGAAAGUAAACGUCCGCCUCGUGCGGACUAAGGGAAGAUGAUCGGUCUCCAUGACCGUUCCGCAUUCCCGGGGCGUCUCAUUCUCAUUGCGAGACGAGGCGCACCAAGAGCGUACACGCUGGGACCCGAAAGAUGGUGAACUAUGCCUGGUCAGGACGAAGUCAGGGGAAACCCUGAUGGAGGUCCGUAGCGAUUCUGACGUGCAAAUCGAUCGUCGGAACUGGGUAU